CCUACGGGUGGCAGCAGUGGGGAAUAUUGGGCAAUGGGCGCAAGCCUGACCCAGCAACGCCGCGUGAAGGAAGAAGGCUUUCGGGUUGUAAACUUCUUUUCUGAGGGACGAAGAAAGUGACGGUACCGCAGGAAUAAGCCACGGCUAACUACGGGCCAGCAGCCGCGGGAAUACGUAGGGGGCAAGAGUUAUCCGGAUUGAUUGGGUGUAAAGGGCGUGGAGGCGGGAAAGCAAGUCAGAUGUGAAAACGCAGGGCUCAACCCGGAGCCUGCAUUUGAAACUGUUUUUCUUGAGUGCUGGAGCGGCAAUCGGAAUUCCGUGUGUAGCGGUGAAAUGCGUAGAUAUACGGAGGAACACCAGUGGCGAAGGCGGAUUGCUGGACAGUAACUGACGCUGCGGCGCGAAAGCGUGGGGAGCAAACAGGAUUAGAUACCCGAGUAGUC
rnacentral:rRNA from 1 species